GAUCACAUACCUGAUUUGUUUGUUGUCCUUGAAGCAAAUACCAUGACAUGAGCUUGAAGAUUUCAAAGAUACAGAAGGUUGACAGAAAGAGGAUACACUGAUUUCAGCUGCGGACAUUGAGCUGAGUCUCUCCCUAAUAGGUAACUCACCUUUCAACAUAUUCAUUGCAGAAGCAGAAACAAUGGGAUACCUGACCUGCAUACUUGCAUUCUGACAUGUUUUUGCUCGUGCCGUAAAAUUGGAAUGAUGUCCAUGCUGUUAACCUCUACAACUUACCCACACUUCAGAUAACCCAAGGUCUGGAACCCCAACAAUUUUAGUACGUAGCAAAUGUAACUUCUUCUCUAACAAAAAUAAUAAUGAGAGGCAUGUUACAGUUAGUUUUACCCUGAGAAUUGAUCAUCAUUCUGUAACCUUAAGACAAACAUAUAACUUGUGACAUAUUCAUGCAGAUGUGUGCUUUGCAAAUCGACUGACCUUUUUUGUCUUCUGUGAAUAGAUGUUGAAUGCUAAUAUAAAUCUGCAAUAUGUCUCAGCAAAAAUGUGGACUUCAUAAUUUGUCUUUCAAUGGUGCAUAGUUCAAUUUUGUCUUCCUAAUUUAUACAGUAUCAGCUCAUAUGCCGAUUUAUCUCAUAAAUAAGUAUUCACUCUUACAACACCACCAUGCAUGUUUUCUACACUUCUGCAGCAGACCAUCUUUCAAUUUUGAUUUGCAUAACCAUGCAUAUAUAGUGUAUUGAAGCAGCAAAUGGCAUUUACCGUGCUGCUAAAAUAAGAAUCAAAAUUGAAGAGUGUAUUGAACCAGUGGGAGAAGUUAAUGUUCCACGGAAUUGCUAAUCCCGUCUCCAAGGUUUAAUGUUUGUUAUUGACCUAAGAGAAAAUGGGUUCUGCAUCUCUGAUGUGAUGUAUUUCUAACAAACAGUGGCAAAAUGCACGGGUAAUUACUCUUAUAUAGUUUGAUGCUUGAAAAGUUGUAGAGUCGGCGCCUCUCUUUGAAGUGUACAUGAUGUAAUAAGAACAAAAAAUAAAGAAGCAUCUUGAGUACCAUGCCCAGAUACAGUGUUAAUGCCCACAGCUCUAUUUUGUUCCAUUAGAAAUACAAUUAUAUUUUGUUACAUUCAGGUAGUGUUAUAUCAUGCACGUGUAUUACAGGUGUUUCUCUCUACUUUGUGCUCCAGAUUUGUUUCCCUACAAUAUGGCAGAUUAAUGUAUAUUCUUCUGAAGUCAUAGUACAUUCAUGGUCUGUAUAUAUGUUUGUAUGCUGCAAACCUGAGUCCGGUAGGCAGCGGCUGAUUUCUUCAUUUGCUAUCUUUAUAUUCUUCAAAGCAAUUUAAUUUCUUAUCUUGCACCUGUGAUGAACCUACAAUCUAGAGCACAAGGAAACUAUAGAUAAUUUGUUCUAUUGCCUCUGUGAACUUAAGUUAUGGCUUUUAAAAGUAUUUAAACACCAUGUCUUUUAUAUGGAUGUCUACCUUUUCCAAAAGAAUUGAUAUUCUAUUUGGUGUAAUUCAGGAACAACUGAGCUAUCAAACAUAAUAUGGGAUGCAAAAAUAGAAGUGUAUGAGCAUGUAGUGUAAAAUUCGGGAGAUUAGGGGAAUGUAUUGACAAGUGACAAUUGUAUUUCCUUGCGUCCUCAAUGCUGCUUCCUUAGCUCACAUAGCAGUUCUUUUAAUACGUACCGUACUCGAUUUGAUUGGCAGGCUUCAGGUAAUUUGUGUUUGUGUGGUAACAUCAGCGGACCUGUACUGCUACGAAUUACAUCACGGACUAUGUGCUACUUUAUUAAUUGUAGUUUCUUUGUUCAGUUAGUUCUCUGGAAAAAACCACUUCAUCUCCCGAUGUAUAUGUUUUUUUUGUGAAUUCCCGAUGUAUAUGUUUAAUACUAAUCUUCCAAAGAUUGUUGUAAGAAAUAACUAUAUUUACUAUCUUAUCUCAUCAGUGGGCUAAUUCUAUAAAAGAACUAAUAAGGAGAUUUCUUAGCUGUACUGUAUAUGUUUGGAGCAGUGAGAUAAUUUUAUCCUAUAUGAUUUUCUUUCUCUUGCCUUUCCUGAUUUCGUUUUCCCCUCCAUUUUCUUCAGGUUUCAAAGUUUGGCCGCAGCUAGCUUGAUUUGGAGACAUUUCCUGUUAGGAGUUAAACUUUGGUUUGGAGGCAUCGAGCUUUGGCUGUAACUAGCUUUGUUACUUGGUAUACCUCUGUCAGCAUUCAGGUAAACACUAUCUACCACAUUGUUUAAUAUGGGGUUUACUCUGGUGCCACGUGUACUAUAUUGCUAGAUUUAACUUUAAUCUAUGAGUUGGUUCGUAUCUAUUUCGGCAUAAAUGUUUCGUCAUACUAGGAUUUAAUUGGUGAUCUUACUUUUGUUGCCUUUUGGUGACUAUGAAAUAUAUUGCAUUUUCAUGGAAGCAGGAGCCGGGUAGUUGUUGAGCGGGUUGUGGGAGAGGCGGUCGGCGAGCGCGGGCUAGACGGGAAGGUGAUGCUUGCGAUGGCGACCAUGCCGGCGGGCAGGCAAGGUCGAUUGUGUCCAUCAUGGUGUUUCAGAGGGAGAGCGAGGCAUCUGCCAUCGCGCAUCUGAA
rnacentral:lncRNA from 1 species